rnacentral:rRNA from 1 species
AUGGAGACCUCGGAGGCGGAGAAGGAGAUGAGGGAGUGGUGCGUCGCGCUCCCCAAGGUGGAGCUCCACGCCCACCUCAACGGCUCCGUCCGCAACUCCACCCUCCUAGAACUCGCAAAAGAACUAGGCGACAAAGGAGUGAUUGUCUUUGAGGAUGUUAAGGAUGUGAUCAUGAAGAAUGACAGAUCUCUCCCAGAGUGUUUUAGGCUCUUUGAUUUGUUUCAUAUACUUACGACUGACCAUGAUACAGUGACAAGGAUCGCCAAGGAGGUUGUGGGAGAUUUUGCUGCCGAGAAUGUUGUGUAUUUGGAAAUAAGGACGACACCUAAGAAUAAUGAAGCAAAGGGGAUGACCAAGAGAUCAUACAUGAAUGCUGUUGUUAAAGGACUUAAGUCUGUUGAAGACGUCGACGUUGUUCUAUUUGAUUCUAACUUAAGAAACGAUGAAACACCUAUGAGUGAUUUGAGUGGCGACACAAAGAGAAAGAAGAUAUAUGUUAGGCUCCUUCUGAGUAUUGACCGUCGUGAGACAACUUCUGCUGCAUUGGAUACUGUUAAUUUAGCCAUGGAAAUGAAGGACCAGGGUGUAAUUGGCAUUGAUCUCUCUGGCAAUCCAGUUGUAGGGGAAUGGGAGACAUACCUGCCUGCUCUAGAACAUGCUAAAGAUCUGGGAAUCCCCACCACAAUUCACUGUGGUGAGAUGAAAUUAGAGCUUAGUGAACAACAGGUACCAAACAGGAAGGAGAUCCAAGCAAUGCUGGAUUUCUGCCCUCAAAGGCUAGGUCAUGUCUGUUGCCUCGACGACGAAGAGUGGAAGAAGCUCAAGUCAUCGAUGAUCCCGGUGGAAAUAUGUUUAACCUCCAAUGUUAUGACCGGAGGCGCCCCUUCUCUGGAGCUUCAUCACUUUGCUGACCUUUACAACGCGAAACACCCUCUGUCGAUAUGCACUGAUGAUUCUGGCCUCUUUUCGACGAGCCUCUCAAAUGAGUAUUACCUCGUCGCGUCUACCUUCGGCCUUAGCAAGACCGAGCUGUUUCGGCUAGCCCAGGGCGCUGUGGAGUUCGUGUUCGCCGACGACGAGGUGAAGAAGUCACUGAGGGCGGUGUUUGAGCGUGCGGCGGCGGAGACGCUCGCAAGUUAG